GGAGCGGCAGGGGCCGGUGCCCCGACUGGCCUUCAAAGCCGGCGAGCCGUGGUAGCCCCACGGUGGGAAGGUUCGACUCCUUCGUCGCUCCG
rnacentral:tRNA from 1 species